UUUAUGGAGAGUUUGAUCCUGGCUCAGGAUGAACGCUGGCGGCGUGCCUAAUACAUGCAAGUCGAGCGAACGGACGAGAAGCUUGCUUCUCUGAUGUUAGCGGCGGACGGGUGAGUAACACGUGGAUAACCUACCUAUAAGACUGGGAUAACUUCGGGAAACCGGAGCUAAUACCGGAUAAUAUUUUGAACCGUAUGGUUCAAAAGU
rnacentral:rRNA from 1 species